rnacentral:lncRNA from 1 species
UUAUUGUGUUUGUACACUUGUUAUGCUGUUUGUUGACAAGUUAUUUGUCUAAGCCGGUUUUAUUAUGGCUUCUAGCACAACUACUGGUGCGUCUAAUACUGUGGAUUCCUCUAGUCCACUUUUUCUGUAUUCAUCUGAUCUCCCUGGGGUACCUCUUGUCCCCAUCCCAUUUUCGGGUACUGGUUAUGGAGGUUGGAGACGAAAAAUUCUUGUUGCCUUGUCGGCUAAAAAUAAAAUCAGCUUUGUUGAUGGCACCUAUGCCCGUCCUACUACCAAUGUUCCUCAACAGAGGUUACGAAAAAUUCUUGUUGCCUUGUCGACUAAAAAUAAAAUCAGCUUUGUUGAUGGCACCUAUGCCCGUCCUACUACCAAUGUUCAUCAACAGAGGUUAUGGAAUAGGUGCAAAAAUAUGGUGAUCUCCUGGUUGAUUGCCUCCCUUUCCC